AUUGAACGCUGGCGGAAUGCUUUACACAUGCAAGUCGAACGAUGAAGUCUAGCUUGCUAGACGGAUUAGUGGCGAACGGGUGAGCAAUAUAUCGGAACGUAUCCAUUAAUGGGGGAUAACUAGUCGAAAGAUUGGCUAAUACCGCAUACGUCCUACGGGAGAAAGCUAGGGACCUUCGGGCCUGGCGUUAAUGGAGCGGCCGAUAUCUGAUUAGCUAGUUGGGGAGGUAACGGCUCACCAAGUCGACGAUCAGUGGCCGGACUAGGAGGUUGAACGGCCACAUUGGGACUGAGAUACGGCCCAGACUCCUACGGGAGGCAGCAGUGGGGAAUAUUGGGCAAUGGGGGAAACCCUGACCCAGCAACGCCGCUUGAAGGAAGAAGGCUUUCGGGUUGUAAACUUCUUUUACCAGGGACGAAGACGUGACGGUACCUGGAGAAAAAGCCACGGCUAACUACGUGCCAGCCGCCGCCGUAACAC
rnacentral:rRNA from 1 species